UUUUUUUCAUGACUUAAUUUGUAUUAACGUAUUUUGGUUUGUGUAAAGAGUAAUUCUAAGAUUGAGAGAUAAAGUCUCUCUCACCCCACAACCAUUUACUUUUCAAAAGGAAAAAAAGACUUCUAUUCUGGUUAUAUCUGAGCACAUAUUUUUCAGGUGUUUAAUUUAGUUAAGAAUGCCAUGUAUAACAAGUCGAGCAAAUGCAGAUGGAAGUCGACUUUGAAAACAACUACUUAAUUUCCACAUUUCAUAAAAAAUAUAUAGGUAGAGUGCUUAUAGCCUUAUGGUGGACUAGAACUACAGAAAUUUGGGUUUGAUGUAUUUUCAGGAACAACAAAUGGUAAUGUAUGUGCAUAGAAAAUCAAAUAUGUACAAAGAGUUGAACUGUUAGAUACUGAUAGCUGCCUCUUUUGGUGGUAAGUUCGUGGCCUCCCAACUGGUUUGACGGAUUUAAUGGAAGCAAUUGGUUCGAGGACUGAAUUUCUUGGAAGUUGCCAUCAUAUUCAAUAUUUGAGACAUUCUCACACAUCAUUAUUUAUUGCUUCUACAGGUGUCUACACUGCCGUUAUCAUCGAAGACUGCAAAGAAAACUGAUCAUAGCAUUAUGAAUGCAUCACAUGUUGUCUCUAUGUAAAUAAUAUUCUCAUUGAUGUAAAGAAUUUGUCAUCUUCAACCAUGCAACAUCCAAGAAUGGAUAUUUUGUUUCUAUAUGGAUGUAAAUAGUUGUGACGAUCAGGCCAGCCGUCUCAUGAGUUACCGCUCUGUUUUUUC
rnacentral:lncRNA from 1 species